rnacentral:rRNA from 1 species
AUUGAACGCUGGCGGCAGGCCUAACACAUGCAAGUCGAACGAGUGGCGGACGGGAGAGUAAUGUCUGGGAAACUGCCUGAUGGAGGGGGAUAACUACUGGAAACGGUAGCUAAUACCGCAUACCAUCGGAUGUGCCCAGAUGGGAUUAGCUAGUAGGUGGGGUAAAGGCUUACCUAGGCGACGAUCCCUAGCUGGUGUGAGAGGAGGACCAGCCACACUGGAACUGAGACACGGUCCAAACCCCUACGGCAGGCAGCAGUGUGGUAGAUUGCACAAUGGGCGCAAGCCUGAUACAGCCAUGCCGCGUGUAUGAAGAAGGCCUUAGGGUUGUAGAGUACUUUCAGCCGGGAGGCGUUACCCGCAGAAGAAGCACCGGCUAACUCCGUGCCAGCAGCCGCGGUAAUUC